rnacentral:sRNA from 2 species
UCGCGUCAAGCGCCGUAGGCAGGAGCGGGGGACCCAAGGUAAGUGCCGCGCCCGGGAGUUGACCGGGGCGGCUUGGGGUGGAGCCGCGCGCCCGGUGGGCGCGCGGCCGGGCAACUCAACCGGCCCGAACCCGACAGCUCACCUCGCAGGCGUCGGUGAGGGGAUCG